rnacentral:SRP_RNA from 1 species
GAGUCCAGGUGCUAUGCAAGAAAUUGCUGCCGAACCCCGUCAGAUUCGGAAGAAAGCAGCGGUAGGCGGAUAAUUUCUGUGCCGUAGAUUACCUGGGCUCUUCG